UCCUGGGAGGAUUGACAGAUUGAGAGCUCUUUCUUGAUUCGGUGGAUGGUGGUGCAUGUCCGUUCUUAGUUGGUGGAGUGAUUUGUCUGGUUAAUUUCGAUACCGAACGAGACUCUAGCCUAUUAAACAGGUGCGUGGUUCCCUGCACCUUGCACCCUUCUUACAGGAACAAGCGGCUACUAGCCACACGAAACAAAGAAAUAACAGGUCUCUGAUGCCCUUAGAU
rnacentral:rRNA from 1 species